GAAAUGCGAUAAGUAAUGUGAAUUGCAGAAUUCAGUGAAUCAUCGAAUCUUUGAACGCACAUUGCGCCCGCCAGCACUCUGGCGGGCAUGCCUGUUCGAGCGUCAUUUCAACCCUCAGAACCCCUUGCGGGAUCUGGCGUUGGGGAUUGGCAUCCAACCAGCCCCGAAAUCUAGUGGCGGUCCCUCCGCGACCUCCCCUGUGCAGUAGCGAUACCUCGCAGCGGGACAGCGGUCUGACCACGCCGUAAAACCCCCAACUUCUCAAGGUUGACCCCGAAUCAGGUAGGAAUACCCGCUGAACUUAAGC
rnacentral:misc_RNA from 1 species